rnacentral:rRNA from 1 species
GGCGGACGGGUGAGUAAUGCUUAGGAAUCUGCCUAUUAGUGGGGGACAACAUUCCGAAAGGAAUGCUAAUACCGCAUACGCCCUACGGGGGAAAGCAGGGGAUCUUCGGACCUUGCGCUAAUAGAUGAGCCUAAGUCAGAUUAGCUAGUUGGUGGGGUAAAGGCCUACCAAGGCGACGAUCUGUAGCGGGUCUGAGAGGAUGAUCCGCCACACUGGGACUGAGACACGGCCCAGACUCCUACGGGAGGCAGCAGUGGGGAAUAUUGGACAAUGGGCGAAAGCCUGAUCCAGCCAUGCCGCGUGUGUGAAGAAGGCCUUUUGGUUGUAAAGCACUUUAAGCGAGGAGGAGGCUACUUAGAUUAAUACUCUAGGAUAGUGGACGUUACUCGCAGAAUAAGCACCGGCUAACUCUGUGCCAGCAGCCGCGGUAAUACAGAGGGUGCGAGCGUUAAUCGGAUUUACUGGGCGUAAAGCGUGCGUAGGCGGCUUCUUAAGUCGGAUGUGAAAUCCCUGAGCUUAACUUAGGAAUUGCAUUCGAUACUGGGAAGCUAGAGUAUGGGAGAGGAUGGUAGAAUUCCAGGUGUAGCGGUGAAAUGCGUAGAGAUCUGGAGGAAUACCGAUGGCGAAGGCAGCCAUCUGGCCUAAUACUGACGCUGAGGUACGAAAGCAUGGGGAGCAAACAGGAUUAGAUACCCUGGUAGUCCAUGCCGUAAACGAUGUCUACUAGCCGUUGGGGCCUUUGAGGCUUUAGUGGCGCAGCUAACGCGAUAAGUAGACCGCC